rnacentral:rRNA from 1 species
AUUGAACGCUGGCGGCAUGCCUUACACAUGCAAGUCGAACGGCAGCACGGGAGCAAUCCUGGUGGCGAGUGGCGAACGGGUGAGUAAUGUAUCGGAACGUGCCCAGUCGUGGGGGAUAACGUAGCGAAAGCUACGCUAAUACCGCAUACGAUCUAGGGAUGAAAGCGGGGGAUCGCAAGACAUCGCGCGAUUGGAGCGGCCGAGAUCAGAUUAGAUAGUUGGUGGGGUAAAGGCUCACCAAGCCGACGAUCUGUAGCUGGUCUGAGAGGACGACCAGCCACACUGGGACUGAGACACGGCCCAGACUCCUACGGGAGGCAGCAGUGGGGAAUUUUGGACAAUGGGCGCAAGCCUGAUCCAGCAAUGCCGCGUGCAGGAUGAAGGCCUUCGGGUUGUAAACUGCUUUUGUACGGAACGAAACGGCGAGCUCUAAUACAGUUUGCUAAUGACGGUACCGUAAGAAUAAGCACCGGCUAACUACGUGCCAGCAGCCGCCGUAA